rnacentral:rRNA from 1 species
AUCACUAAGCGGAGGAAAAGAAACUAACAAGGAUUCCCUUAGUAACGGCGAGUGAACAGGGAAGAGCCCAGCACCGAAGCCUGUGGCCAUUUGGUCUCUAGGCAAUGUGGUGUUUAGGUCAUCUCGCAGAGACACUGUCCCACUCUAAGUCCAGCAAUGAGAACGGCAAUUUGGACUUGGCCCAAAGAGGGUGAAAGGCCCGUGAGGGUGGGAAGCAGAAUAGCCAGUGUCUCUCUGAGUAGACCUUGGAGUCGGGUUGUUUGUGAAUGCAGCCCAAAGCGGGUGGUAAACUCCAUCCAAGGCUAAAUACUAACACGAGUCCGAUAGCGAACAAGUACCGUGAGGGAAAGUUGAAAAGUACUUUGAAGAGAGAGUAAACAGUGCGUGAAACCGCUCAGAGGUAAACAGGUGGAGUUGAACUGCAAGCUCUGAGAAUUUAACUGGUGAGUGUGUCAUGGGCUUGGUUAUGCUGGUUGGCCUUCAGAGUCUGCUUAACUGCAGGUCCUACCUUUCGGGGUAUGAUGCAUGAGGCACUUAUCAAGUGUUGUGCGCUUAGAGGGUACAUCGGACCUGCUCGCCAGUGCAUUUUCUCAGAGUGUUCACCACGACCGGCGCUGCUGUCUGUCUACUGUGGUUAAACCGGGUUUGUAUUGUCCUUGUGGCUUUGCAUACUCGGGACGGCAGGUAACUCGAUUUUGCUUUGCAAUGUCGGGUGUAAUCAGCUGACUGCAGUAGUACUGUACAGUGCGCCGGAGAUGGCGGCUUGUGGUGCGUACAUGCGUGCUUGUUUGACUGGCGGCUUUGGGUCUGGUUGUCAUGAGCUUGUAAAAACAGGCCUGAUAAUGGCUCUGAGUCGUACGGUCGGCGGUAGCGUGUGGGGUACUUUAAUGGGCCUAUAGUCUGUGGUGUAGUGGUAAACGAAUCCACCUUGA